CGCUGGCGGGAUGCUUUACACAUGCAAGUCGAACGGCAGUACUGACUUCGGUCUGGUGGCGAGUGGCGAACGGGCGAGUAAUGUAUCGGAACGUGCCUAGUAGCGGGGGAUAACUACGCGAAAGCGUAGCUAAUAAUGCAUAAUACCCUUCGGGGAAAGCGGGGACCUUCGGGCCUCGCACUAUUAGAGCGGCCGAUAUCGAUUAGCUAGUUGGUGGGGUAACGGCUCACCAAGGCGACGAUCCGUAGCUGGUUUGAGAGGACGACCAGCCACACUGGGACUGAGACACGGCCCAGACUCACGGGAGGCAGCAGGGGAAUUUUGGACAAUGGGGGAAACCCUGAUCCAGCCAUCCCGCGUGCGCGAUGAAGGCCUUCGCUUGUAAAGCACUUUGGCAGGGAAAGAACGGCACGGGAUAAUACCCCGUGCAACUGACGGUACCUGCAGAAUAAGCACCGGCUAACUACGCCAGCAGCCGCGGUAAUACGUAGGGUGCAAGCGUUAAUCGGAAUUACUGGGCGUAGCGUGCGCAGGCGGUUCGGAAAGAAAGAUGUGAAAUCCCAGAGCUUAACUUCUUGGGAACUGCAUUUUUAACUACCGAGCUAGAGUGUGUCAGAGGGGGAGGUGGAAUUCCGCGUGUAGCAGUGAAAUGCGUAGAUAUGCGGAGGAACACCGAUAUGAAGGCAGCCUCCUGGGAUAACACUGACGCCUGUAUGCUGAAAGCGUGGGGAGCAAACAGGAUUAGAUACCCUGGUAGUCCACGCCCUAAACGAUGUCAACUAGCUGUUGGGGCCUUCGGGCCUUGGCAGCAGCUAACGCGUGAAGUUGACCGCUCUGUGAGUACGGUCGCAAGAUUAAAACUCAAAGGAAUGAUUGGGACCGUAACAAGUGUGAUAUGGAUUAAUUCGAUGCAACGCGAAAACCUUACCUACCCUUGACAUGUCUGGAAUCCCGAAGAGAUUUGGGAGUGCUCGUAAGAGAACCGAACACAGGUGCUGCAUGGCUGUCGUCAGCUCGUGUCGUGAGAUGUUGGGUUAAGUCCCGCAACGAGCGCAACCCUUGUCAUUAGUUGUUACGAAAGGGCACUCUAUCGAGACUGCCGGUGACAAACCGGAGGAAGGUGGGGAUGACGUCAAGUCCUCAUGGCCCUUGCGGGUAGGGCUUCACACGUCAUACAAUGGUCGGGACAGAGGGUCGCCAACCCGCGAGGGGGAGCCAAUCCCAGAAACCCGAUCGUAGUCCGAUCGCAGUCUGCAACUCGACUGCGAAGUCGGAAUCGCUAGUAAUCGCGGAUCAGCAUGUCGCGGUGAAUACGUUCCCGGGUCUUGUACACACCGUCACACCAUGAGUGGGUUUUACCAGAAGUAGUUAGCCUAACCGUAAGGAGGGCGAUUACCACGGUAGGAUUCAUGACUGGGGUGAAGUCGUAACAAGGUAG
rnacentral:rRNA from 1 species